GAUGGAAGCAGAGAACAACAAAUCUGUAAAACAUAGCCUGAUGAAAAUAUGCUGUUAAAUAUGCAGUGAAGUUCACUAUAAAAGCUCAAACAUGACAGCACAAAGGCAUGUCUGACUCCUUUAACACAAGUGUGUUUUUUGAUGUGUAGAUUUUUGUUAGUGGUUAAAUAUUUUACAGUGACUUUUUUUUUCAGGGCACAAUUUGCAAUAGAGGCCUUUAAACCUUCUAAUGCAGUUCCAAAAGAAACUUUUACUGAACUAUUGCUAUUGUUGCUGUCACAAGUUUUUUUUUAUGAAUACAGUUUAUCAAUUAUUUCAAGCCUUUAAAAAGAAUUAGAAUUGUUGGGGAAGAACAUUAUGUAAAAUUGAUUCAUGUCAAUAAGAUAAAAAAUAAAAAUACUAAACAAAACAUGUCAUAGAGUCUCUAAUGAGAGCAAUACAUCAUAUGAAGCCUACCAUUAAUAUUUCUGUUGCAUGUAAAUUUGAUUAAAAGCUUAUGUAAAUCUCCUGUUGCAUAUUUAAACAGCAGACAUGAGUCAGUUUACACAUUCAUCUGAUCACUAGAGGGAGUGAAGAAUCACUUCAGUUCAGUCAAACUGUGCUGAGAAACAAACCAUGAUCUCUUCAUCUUUAGUGCUGCUUCUGGCAGUCAUAUCCUGUAUUGAUUCAUAUGAACUCACUCAGCCUGAGUCUCUGACUGUCCGUCCUGAUGCCACUCUCACUAUCAACUGUAAAGUCUCAUAUUCAGUUACUAGCUAUGCUACAGGCUGGAUUCGUCAGCCUGCAGGAAAAGCUCUGGAGUCGAUUGGAGUCAUCUGGAGUGAUGGAAGCUUAUACUACAAGGAUUCUCUGAAAAGCAAGUUCAGUAUCACCAGAGACACUUCCAGUAACACAAUAACACUGCAAGGACAGAAUAUGCGAGCUGAAGACACAGCUGUGUAUUAUUGUGCCAAACGUACACAGUGACAGACG